AAGCUAAUUAACUAAUCAAAGUAUACUACUCCUAGCUAGAUAGGCCGGGUACGUGACCUGUCUAAUCUGUCUGUCCAUUAGAAAAGUGCAGAAAAUGCUGACACUUGUGAACUUUUUUUUUCUUUCUGCGGGGGACACUUGUGACCUUUCUAGGUAGUCUAUACAAGCUAGGAGUGCAUGUGACGGGGUCAGAUAUCUAGUGACAGUAGAUUCUACAGGUUAGGC
rnacentral:lncRNA from 1 species